rnacentral:rRNA from 1 species
UACGUAGGGGGCGAGCGUUGUCCGGAAUUAUUGGGCGUAAAGAGCUCGUAGGCGGUCUGUCGCGUCGGCUGUGAAAACCCGAGGCUCAACCUCGGGCCUGCAGUCGAUACGGGCAAACUGGAGUGUUGCAGGGGAGACUGGAAUUCCUGGUGUAGCGGUGAAAUGCGCAGAUAUCAGGAGGAACACCGGUGGCGAAGGCGGGUCUCUGGGCAACAACUGACGCUGAGGAGCGAAAGCGUGGGGAGCGAACAGG